rnacentral:rRNA from 1 species
AAACAUGGUUCUUUGAAAGAGAUAAAGAAUCGAGCCUGCCCGGUGGGAAUAAAUAACUUAACGGCCGCAGUAUAUUGACUGUGCAAAGGUAGCAUAAUCACUUGCCUUUUAAUUGGAGGCUGGUAUGAAUGGUUUGACAAGAAUAUAACUGUCUCUGAGAAGUUUUACAGAAAUUAGUUUCUAGGUGAAGAAACCUGGAUCCAAUUAAAAGACGAGAAGACCCUGUCGAGCUUUAGUGAUGUAUGAAAAUAAGCAAAAAAGGUUCACCUUAAGUAUAUUUUUUGGCGCUUUAGUUGGGGCAACUAAGGAAUAGAAGAAACUUCCUGAAAAAUUUACGGUUUUUUCGAAAAAUGAGCCAUUAGGAAUGAUUUUAGGAAUAAGCUACCGCAGGGAUAACAGCGUAAUUUCUUUAGAGAGUUCAAAUCGAUAAAGAAGUUUGCGACCUCGAUGUUGGAUUAAAGUAACCUAAAGAUGCAGAAGUCUUUAACGGUUGGUCUGUUCGACCAUUAAAACUUUACAUGAUCUGA